ensembl:lncRNA
GGCAUUUGUCUCAUGAGUACAGGCAGAUGGGCACCAGCUUCCAGAAGGAGCACACUGAGGUCUACGUUUCCAUCAGCAUUCGGCUUCUGGAUCUCAAGCAAAUGCUGAAAGCAAAGUUCCUUCUGAUGCUGGGGAUGAGAGCAGAUGGAAGCCAAGCUAUAGUUGAUACAGGACCUAUUUCUCAAUGACUCUUUCACUUGCAAACAAGGAGCCUUAGUGCCACUAAGAUUUGGGUACCAUGAUUCACUGAGGGCUGCCCAGGAUAAGCAGUGUCCAUGUCAUGUUUUCCAGGUCAGACUUCUCAGUUAAUCGUGCUGGGGUCAUUGUUAAUGCCAGCCAAGCAUAGCAGAACACAUAACACCAACUCUAAACCACCUUCGGCAAGAAUGGAUGGUGUGACUCAUCUGCCUUCUGUGUCGAUUAGGAAGUUGAUAUUCCUUCCCAGAACCACACAGCUCCUGCUCUGCUGUGCAGAAGUGCACCUCAGUCUCCAUACCUAACAAAUCGAAGGCUCUUCUUGUUUCACAGAGCAUCAGUCGACGUCCUGCCCUCGCUCUCUAAAUUUCUCCCAAGCCUUGCAAGCACCAGAAGUACGAGCGCCAGAUCCUCUCAUCUCCUUCCCUCCCUUGACCUCACCUCUGUGUCCCACACCUCUCCAGGCAGCCCAUGCACGCUCCUGAGGAAGAAUGUGGCCAAUAUACUGCCAAGUGCCGCUAAAUGGAAGGAGGCAGAGGAUAACAGAAAAUCAAAAAGACUGGAGGAAGAUUUCUUCCUGAUGCUGUAAUCUCAUGCUGCUGUUUAUCUCCACCUGUGACUUUGCUUAUUCCUUCGUCCCUCUAUAAAUCACUGCAGCUGGUGGUGCAUUCACCCAACCUUUCUGCCAGGAUGGUGUCAAAACUCUUCCCAUCAGACACCUGAACUGGUCAAUUCCUACUGCUAAACACCACUAUUUUGAAGAAGGAAAACUGAAGUGAAAGCAAAUUUCAAAGGUACUCAAGACUUGUGUGAUACGGCGCUGAGCUCUGUGCUCACACAAAGAGCUGUUGGUUUUAGGCAUGCUAAAUGAAACACAUUUUACAUCUGCAGCAGAGUAAGAAAAAGUCUCGUUUCUUUUGCCUGAACAAAAGGCAAAGCAUAUAGCAGCUGCUGUUCUUGUAGUAAAGAUUUCAAAACUGAAUGGCAGUGCUCUCUCACUCCUAUUCAUUUGACAUUCAGCUUUCAGAUUGUGAUGUUCACUGUCAUAUUUAUCACUUAACUAUGAUGGGCUGUUUGGGGUGACAGUUAUGGAUGGAAGCAGCCACAGUUCUCACCACCUUUCCAGAUCCAUUUUAAGUGGUUUCUGCUCCAUCAUCACUAAGAGCUGAUGCUGCUAUUCCCAUAGUUGGGAGAUUAGAAGCAAUGUAUGAAUUCAGGCCUUUCUCCUUCCUGUGGUUGCCCUAUGGUCAGGCAGAGGAGACUUUCCCACUCUUUCAACCACUGCUGGUGAAAUGAGCCCCACAGUACGUGAUCGAGAGAACUGACUUCGAGCUUUGAUAGUUAUAAAUAGUAGGCACUGUAAUUGUCUAGCAGUUCUCCUGCAAAGAAGAGGUAAUUGUGUGGAUGAAUAAAAUAUUGGCAUUAAAAAAACAUUUUAAGCUUAAUCUCAAAGUAGCUGAUGAAGUAUUUCUAUGGCAGACCUGUCAGCUCACGUGCUCUCAGUGGUAGCUUCUCAUGCUUGGUUGGCUCUUUUGUAAGAAGAGAAAAAGAAUUAAAAAGAAAAAAACAAAAAUGAAACACACCAGAAACACAUGCACAGUACAGAAUGCACACACAACGAAACAGCAAAAUAAUCCUGAAAAUCAAAUGUGUGCAAUUGGAGAAGGCCUUCUGUACUUCUCCAUGUUACCCCUCAUGGGGAAGUUCCCAGCCCUGCCACUCAGGCAGACCCAGUGGAGGAGCUUUUUUCUCUGGGUGCCCAUCCCCAGCCUCACUGUACCUGACAACUUCAUGGUUCAGCCUGUUUCUUCUCCAGGGGGCAGAGCCAUGCUGCCUUCCCCUUCUGCAGGGACGAAGCUUGGGCUUCCAUUACACUGUGCUCUUGGAGAGACCGUCAGCUCAAACUGAUCUACAGCCUACCUGUGGGAUAGCCUUCAGCUUCCAGGCAGAGCAAAGCAGCCAGAGCACACCUGGGAGGGGGAGGAUCCUGAAAACUGCUGCUUAUGGGGUGGCAUCAGAUUACGACCAGUUCCUAGGAUUUGGCUCAGAGAUACAGAGGAAAGCAGGGAGGUGGGCUGGCUCCUCCAUCCUGGACCAAAAGUUUGAUGCAGGGAUUGGGUCUCCUCCCACUGCAUCAAUGCAUAGGAUGAGGGGAGGAGGAAGGAAAAGUGACUGGCAUUUUGAGAUCACUGAUAACCUUCAUGAGGCAUUAGUUUUAUUUAAUACAGAGUGUCAUGUUGGGUCCAGUAUUUCAGGGACCGAUUUAAGAUUUAACAGCAAUUCACAACACUAACAUCAGCCAAAGCAUUUCUGUUUGCAUUUUAGUUCUCCAGCAGAAGGAUGACAGCACUGAAGAUUAAAGCUUUUUUUUUUACCCCUCCUUAAGAUCUCAGCAAAGUGCAGAUUUGAAACACAGAAAGAGGUUGACCUUCGUAUUAACCUGAAUCUCUUUUCCUGUUUCUUCUUGAAUAUAUUUUAUUCUCUUUAUGCACAGUGGGGCUCUUUUUUUCUUGUGUGAGGCUGUUGAAUGAAAUGCCAGAAAGAUGGAGUGUGCACUUUUACAUCAAAGAAAUGAUGAGACCAUAAAAACUCAUUUCCCUUGUGACUUCUUAAAUUGUUGCUAAGGAAUUGAAUGAGUCUGUUUGAAACAAUGUGUCCCUUUAAAUUCUGUUUUCUUAUUUGUCUUAAAACACAAAGCCACAGUUUCUUGUAGACCCUGAUUCAAAGGCCACUCACUGAAGUCAAUAAAGGUUUCUUAGUCACUGUGUUUAGAUGUAGGUCAGAUUUUUCAAGUAUUCCACUAUGUAGAACCCAGGCAGACUGAUUUCAAAAGUUCUGGCUAUUCACAGAAAGAAAGUAAAAGGUCUAGUUUGUUUUUGUUCAUUCAGGUGGUUAAAAACGUCCCCUUCAAAUGGGCCAGAAUUGAGUCAACUGUCAACUGCUGAGCAGAACAAAUCUGACAGGGGCAAGUAAAAUGAAGCAGUAGUUAAAUUCAGAAAUCCAAAGAAGUAAAAAUGUUGAUUUACUUUAGUUUUUCUCAUGCACAGUGGUGACGUGCAGUAGAAGCACAAACAAAGCCCACGGUUCAGACUGUUGGAGGGAAACCCUGCCUAUUUCUGUGUAACAGUUUUGGGCAAUCACUCUCGCUGCUGGGGUGAAUGGUUUGUUAGUACUAUAACCCAGUGAGUUGCUAGAAAUGGUCUUGAUUGGAGAGCAUUGUAAAGCAAUUAAGUUCUGACUAUUAACAAAGCUCCCACAGAGAGCAUUAAUUUUUGAAAGUAGACAAAGUCUGCGCUACGACUUUCUAGUGACUGUGUGGAAGUGUGACCAGAGUGAAAUAUGGAAACUGCUACAGUAAGUCUCAACUGUUGUAGAUAUUCCUUAUCAGUUUCCAGGAAAGGGUUUUAAAGUUCCAAUUUAGAAAAGCAUUUAAAUGUAUUCUGAAAUUUAUUUCAAUUUAAUUGGAUACAGGUUUAACAAAUUGCUAAGUUUUUGCAUAAUAAGUAGCAAUUUAAGUAUCUUCUUAUAGAGCUGGUUUGGAUUUCAUCUAAAUAUCCUUUUCUCGGAAUUGGAGCCUUAGUCAUCUGAACUGUAAUGGGAUUUUCUGGGUCUAAAAUCCAGAAAAUGCCACUUUGCUCUCAGACCCAAGUCAGUCAUCUUCAUCUAUGAGAUACCCAUAUUGUGUGCACAUGUUCCUUUCCAGAACUCCAGCCGCCUGAGCUCUUUAACUUACUGUUUGUUUCUCUCUGCAAAGGCGUAUGAUAUUUUAAGCAGGUAACUUAACAGUGGUUCAAAAUAGUGAUUUCUUGUGUUAGUCAGUGUAAGAAAAAUCAUAGAAUCAAUCAUAGAGAAAUGCCAUGCUGAAGAUGCUAAAACCCCAGAAUGGAGGUCUCCAUCUCUGAUCGUUCUCAGAGGUUGAAAUUGCAGUUCGUCAUCUUCCCAUCUUUUGUACCCAAUUUCUGGUUGCUCUGCUCUGUUUUAUGCCUUGAAAAGGACAUUUGCUUUAAUGGUCCCAUGCUGGGAUUUCAGAACGAUGGGGAAACAUUGCUACCAGUAAAAUAUGUGGAACUAUUUUCAAAACGUUGGCGUGAGCCAACAGGACCUAUCAAAGCCUUUGCAAAAGCAUAAAACCAACUUCUCAGAUUACAUUGUUUAUAAUUUCUCUUGGGUUAUUUCCCAAUAACACAGAAAACGUGUGACUGUUUUUGUAUCUGAAAGGAGUUUGGCCGAUGCUGAGGUGGGAGUACAGGAUCUUUACCAAACAAGGCUCCAUGUCGUGAUGGGCAGUCUUUAGGACUCUGAGUAACUGAAUGCUUGUAGCACUUCACUUUCUGAAGAUAGAUGAAGCGUCUUCUGAAUUACAUGUGGUUUUUUUAUGUUUUGUUGUCUUGUUUUUCUUCUUGUAGUGUAAUUCUGAACCACAUGAUCAAGCCAGGUGUUAUUCCAUGCUACUGCUUCUGAAAAUGCAGAUGCAGCAGAUGCAGGCAUACGGGUUCAGUGAAUCAGGAACAGAUAAGUGUCAACUUUCCUCUGUGGUUGUGGUUGCAAAGACCCUUGUGCUGAACGAUUAUUCUCUAGUGUUUAGAAAGGAACAGUUUGAUUAUAGCAGUACUUUGUUUAAAAAAAAUUCUUGAAAACUACACUGAAAGUGGAUAUUUUCUGCUAUUACUUAAAACUCAGUGUUGGUUGCAAAGCCAAAGAAAACAGGUCCCCAUGUUCAAUAGCCAUACCUAAUACACUGUUGUGUUAGAUACCACAAUCCUAAUUCCAUAAGAUGGUGUUCUUGGAAACAGCAGAAAAUCAGCAUGGAAUAGAAAAAAUUUCCUCCAUUGUAAAACCAGUCGUUUGCAUUUUUAACGUGCCACCUUUCUAGUUUUUCUUCUUCUAUUGGGAAGAAGUUCAUAACAAGUUCACUCAUUUUAAUCUAAGGAAAAUGAACAGACCUCCCAGAGUUGAAAACCCGCUGUACAAACAGCAAAAUUAUUCUGACUUCCAGGAGUAAUUUAAUUAGAAGGAUUCUUCAGAGUGGCUUUUUUUUUUUUUUUUUUUUCAUUAGAAAAUGUGGUGUUUUUCACGCCGUACAGCACAAAACCUUUCGCAUUUUUGUAAAGUGUAAUAAAAUAAUCACUGGGAAUUUCUGGAUCUUUCUCUAUAGGAGUUGCUACCCAUUUUUCUUUUUAAGCUAAUUUAAGGGACAGAGUAGCUCAAUAAUUUGUUUUUCUGCUUAAAAAGGUGACUUUGAAGAAGAGUGACAUGAUAAACCUUCCACAGUGAUUAUGGAAAAUAUUGUUUCUGCUAUUUAUGAAAUACACUGUGAUGCUCUUUUGAUUAAAAAUGAAGAUGAAAAUCUUUCAAAGCCUUUGAGACAAAAUUAUUUCAGCAAACAAAGAAUGAGAAGAGUAUCUGGUAGUGGUGUGGACUUCUGCAUGGUCUUGAAUAUGUGCUGCUCUAUGGAAGAACCAUUUCCAGAAGUGGCAUUUGUCCCCACAGACUUUUUAUGUCCAGGUGUUUCACUUAUCUGUAGUUCCACUUAUGUUUUCUUUUCUUUUCUUUCAACUAAUGUCCAGGACAAGUUAAAGUGAAUCCUACAUUCACUGGCUGACUAGGUGCUAAUUGCUAACAUCAGUUCUGAACCUGAGACAGAUAUUAGCUCCAUGUGCAAUUAGCACACUGAUGUACAGAGGAACUGAGAUCCCAAGAUGAAAACCAGAAGAAUGAGGUGCUGUACUGUCAUUUUGGAAGACAGUACCCCGGUUUCACUACUUGUAGUUACAGAACAUCAUUAGCUUUUGAAAAUGAACAGGAAAAUCUGCUAUUAGUGUUCCUUCCUGCUGUUAUGCAGCAUGAGGGGUUCUCAGUGUCUAUGCUUGUACUUUGUUGCUCUUGUUGAAACAUCCCUUUCUUGAAGAGAUCAUUUAGGACUGGGAAGACCAGAGACUCUGGGAAUGAUAUUCUAACAGAGUUAGAAAAUGCCAGAAUGUUACUGACCUCAAUGUGGAUUACAUUUCUGAAGUAGUUUGGGACAUUCUCUUGCCACCUGUAGUUGUAUAGUUUGUAUUUCAGAAUUAGGGAGGUUAACAGUAAAGGAGCGAUACAAUUCAUCUAAAGAGUGAUGUAGAGAAUUGUAAGGAAAUUACAACUUUUGUUGAGUUCUUUACCGACAUUUAUUGACUUCAUUUCUGCUUAACGCUACAGCUGACACCAAGCCCAGCCCUUUGUUUGCAGGACAGUAGAUUUAAGUGCUCACUAAAACAAGAAGUCUGUGGAAUAAUUAAAUAAUGAGUAUUUUUAACAAGUGUCCUUUGAAAACAUCUCAAGGUAAUGUUGAAAGAAAAUAAAACAAAAAAGCAAACAAUAGGAAGAACUGAAAAUCAUUUGCAUAGAAAUGAUCACAUUCCAUCAUGAUGUCCUAAUUUGUGCCUAUGUUUUAGGAUGUUUAUGGUGAUUCCAGGGCUGAUUACCAUAUUAAUGUCAUGAAAAUAAUAAAAAUGUACUGAUUUAGUGCAUUACUCCCUUAAACCAGUCAUAAGAAAAGAUUUACCUUAGUUAUUCUGUGGUAAAAGUUAUAUUACUCAUUUUCUUCAUCUUCAGUGCAUGUGGUAACACAGAAAUAUCACUUUGCAAAGUGCUUUAUAUCAAGGAAAUUCCAGACCACAACAAAGGAGUGCAUGUUAAAAUCAUGAGAAAUGUAGUUUGA